rnacentral:RNase_P_RNA from 1 species
UCCGCCCGGCGGGCAGCCGCGUCGCCCUCAGCCCAUACCCGCAAGGGGAAAGGCCGGGCGCCGAGGAAAGUCCGGUCUCCAUCGGGCAGCGUGCCGGCUAACGGCCGGGGGGGCGCGGUUAGAACUGCGUUCCACGGAUAGUGCCACAGAAAAUGUACCGCCGCGCGGGUUUCGGCCCGCGAGGUAAGGGUGAAAAGGUGCGGUAAGAGCGCACCGCGGCCGCGGUAACGCGCGCCGGCAGGGAAAACCCCACGUGGAGCAAGACCAAAUAGGGGAGGAUGGCGCGGCCCGCGCCGUUACAACUCCCGGGUAGGUUGCUGGAGCCCGUCAGCAAUGACGGGCCGAGAGGAAUGGCUGCCGCCGCGCCGGUGCAAGCCGGGGCGGUACAGGAACCGGCUUAUAGCCGGGCGGAAUCC